rnacentral:rRNA from 1 species
AUGGCCAUAUCACGUAGAAACACCGGUUCUCAUACGAUCAACAGAAGUUAAACAACAUCGAACCUGGUCAGUACCUAGAUGGGUGACCGCUUGGGAAUACCAGGUGCUGUAAG